GCCAGGCGUAGUGGCGUGCGCCUGUAGUCCCAGCUACUUGGGAGGCUGGGGCAGGAGAAUCACUUGAACCCAGGAGGCGGAGGCUGCAGUGAGCCGAGACUGUGCCACUGUACUCCAGCCUGGGCAACAGAGUUAGACCCUGCCUCAA
rnacentral:SRP_RNA from 1 species